GGGGAAUUGUUUUGUUUUGUUUGGAUGUAUAGGAAAGAAAGACUUCUCAGCCUUCCUGGUUACUUGAUAUUACCAAACAUUAAGGAGCUAUGAGUUGGUGAAGUUAUAUUUUCAUGAGAAUUUUAUACAGUGAUAAAUGAGAAGUCAUGGGCCAAACAUGAAGCAAAUUACGUUGUGGCCUGAUCUGGAGCAAUUAACGUGGUAAAGCAUUGAAGAACCCACUUGAGCUUGAUGUUUGAAACAUUCUCCUUUUACACGCAGGGGCUUAUGGCAGAUACUUCCUUUCUGAUGGGUCUAAUCUUCUACUCCUGAGAUCUGCAGAAGAGAUGAUAAAAGCUGAUGAGUCAGGAAGUAGUGCAUUAAAGUUGCAAUAAAAUUAAAUAUACAGCUUCAGAUUAGAGUUCUCACAAAAGUCAUGAGGAAAGGUGACAGGGAGUGGUACGA
rnacentral:lncRNA from 1 species